rnacentral:rRNA from 1 species
GCAAAACGCGAAGAACCUUACCCACCUUUGACAUGUACGGAAUCCUUUAGAGAUAGAGGAGUGCUCGAAAGAGAGCCGUAACACAGGUGCUGCAUGGCUGUCGUCGGCUCGUGUCGUGAGAUGUUGGGUUAAGUCCCGCAACGAGCGCAACCCUUGCCAUUAGUUGCUACGAAAGGGCACUCUAAUGGGACUGCCGGUGACAAACCGGAGGAAGGUGGGGAUGACGUCAAGUCCUCAUGGCCCUUAUAGGUGGGGCUACACACGUCAUACAAUGGCUGGUACAAAGGGUUGCCAACCCGCGAGGGGGAGCUAAUCCCAUAAAGCCAGUCGUAGUCCGGAUCGCAGUCUGCAACUCGACUGCGUGAAGUCGGAAUCGCUAGUAAUCGUGGAUCAGAAUGUCACGGUGAAUACGUUCCCGGGUCUUGUACACACCG